AUCUAAUCCUGUUUGCUCCCCACGCUUUCGUGCAUGAGCGUCAGUGUUAUCCCAGGGGGUUGCCUUCGCCAUUGGUAUUCCUCCACAUAUCUACGCAUUUCACUGCUACACAUGGAAUUCUACCCCCCUCUGACACACUCUAGUCUUACAGUUUCAAACGCAGUUCCCAAGUUGAGCUCGGGGAUUUCACAUCUGACUUAUAAGACCGCCUGCGCACGCUUUACGCCCAGUAAUUCCGAUUAACGCUUGCACCCUACGUAUUACCGCGGCUGCUGGCACGUAGUUAGCCGGUGCUUCUUGUCAAGAUACCGUCAUACUUACCAUUUAUUAAAUAAUAAGUUUUCUUCUCUUGCGAAAGAGCUUUACAACCCGAAGGCCUUCUUCACUCACGCGGAAUGGCUGGAUCAGGGUUGCCCCCAUUGUCCAAAAUUCCCCACUGCUGCCUCCCGUAGGAGUCUGGACCGUGUCUCAGUUCCAGUGUGGCUGAUCGUCCUCUCAGACCAGCUACUGAUCGUUGCCUUGGUAGGCCAUUACCCUACCAACAAGCUAAUCAGAUAUCGGCCGCUCUAAUAACGCAAGGUCCGAAGAUCCCCUGCUUUCACCCGUAGGUCGUAUGCGGCAUUAGCUAAUCUUUCGACUAGUUGUUCCCCAUUACUAGGCACGUUCCGAUAUAUUACUCACCCGUUCGCCACUCGCCAUCAGAGAGCAAGCUCUCUAUGCUGCCGUUCGACUUGCAUGUGUAAAGCAUUCCGCCAGCGUUCAAUCUGAGCCAGGAUCAAACUCU
rnacentral:rRNA from 1 species